rnacentral:rRNA from 1 species
GAUGAACGCUGGCGGCGUGCCUAAUACAUGCAAGUCGAGCGAACGGACGAGAAGCUUGCUUCUCUGAUGUUAGCGGCGGACGGGUGAGUAACACGUGGAUAACCUACCUAUAAGACUGGGAUAACUUCGGGAAACCGGAGCUAAUACCGGAUAAUAUUUUGAACCGCAUGGUUCAAAAGUGAAAGACGGUCUUGCUGUCACUUAUAGAUGGAUCCGCGCUGCAUUAGCUAGUUGGUAAGGUAACGGCUUACCAAGGCAACGAUGCAUAGCCGACCUGAGAGGGUGAUCGGCCACACUGGAACUGAGACACGGUCCAGACUCCUACGGGAGGCAGCAGUAGGGAAUCUUCCGCAAUGGGCGAAAGCCUGACGGAGCAACGCCGCGUGAGUGAUGAAGGUCUUCGGAUCGUAAAACUCUGUUAUUAGGGAAGAACAUAUGUGUAAGUAACUGUGCACAUCUUGACGGUACCUAAUCAGAAAGCCACGGCUAACUACGGGCCAGCAGCCGCGGUAAUACGUAGGUGGCAAGCGUUAUCCGGAAUUAUUGGGCGUAAAGCGCGCGUAGGCGGUUUUUUAAGUCUGAUGUGAAAGCCCACGGCUCAACCGUGGAGGGUCAUUGGAAACUGGAAAACUUGAGUGCAGAAGAGGAAAGUGGAAUUCCAUGUGUAGCGGUGAAAUGCGCAGAGAUAUGGAGGAACACCAGUGGCGAAGGCGACUUUCUGGUCUGUAACUGACGCUGAUGUGCGAAAGCGUGGGGAUCAAACAGGAUUAGAUACCCUGGUAGUCCACGCCGUAAACGAUGAGUGCUAAGUGUUAGGGGGUUUCCGCCCCUUAGUGCUGCAGCUAACGCAUUAAGCACUCCGCCUGGGGAGUACGACCGCAAGGUUGAAACUCAAAGGAAUUGACGGGGACCCGCACAAGCGGUGGAGCAUGUGGUUUAAUUCGAAGCAACGCGAAGAACCUUACCAAAUCUUGACAUCCUUUGACAACUCUAGAGAUAGAGCUUUCCCCUUCGGGGGACAAAGUGACAGGUGGUGCAUGGUUGUCGUCAGCUCGUGUCGUGAGAUGUUGGGUUAAGUCCCGCAACGAGCGCAACCCUUAAGCUUAGUUGCCAUCAUUAAGUUGGGCACUCUAAGUUGACUGCCGGUGACAAACCGGAGGAAGGUGGGGAUGACGUCAAAUCAUCAUGCCCCUUAUGAUUUGGGCUACACACGUGCUACAAUGGACAAUACAAAGGGCAGCGAAACCGCGAGGUCAAGCAAAUCCCAUAAAGUUGUUCUCAGUUCGGAUUGUAGUCUGCAACUCGACUACAUGAAGCUGGAAUCGCUAGUAAUCGUAGAUCAGCAUGCUACGGUGAAUACGUUCCCGGGUCU